GCCGCCGUAGCUCAGCCCGGGAGAGCGCCCGGCUGAAGCCGUAGCACGCAGAGACCGGGUUGUCCGGGGUUCAAGUCCCCGCGGCGGCA
rnacentral:tRNA from 1 species